GAAAUUUUUUACUCUGGAAAGUUCAGUCAAUGGAAUGCCAAUGAGCAAAUUGUGUUUCCCAUGGAAGACCAAAAAAGGUUAUCAAGAUGAGGUAUGAAGAUUGUGUUCAUCAUCAUCAUCAUCAUCAAAGGCAUAGAUCAGUACACUUGAGAUCAUCAAUAAAAAAGUCAACCUGAUCCAACGGUUGAAAAUUCAGAUCGAAAGGUAAG
rnacentral:misc_RNA from 1 species